GGGGAUAACGUUCCGAAAGGGACGCUAAUACCGCAUGACAUCCUGCCUUUGAAGAGGUGGAGUUUAAAAACAUCUGGUCGCAAGACCUAGCACUCGAUGAGGGGCCCGCGUCUGAUUAGCUAGUUGGUGGGGUAACGGCUCACCAAGGCAACGAUCAGUAUCCGGCCUGAGAGGGCGGACGGACACACUGGGACUGAGACACGGCCCAGACUCCUACGGGAGGCAGCAGUGGGGAAUUGUUCGCAAUGGGCGCAAGCCUGACGACGCAACGCCGCGUGGAGGAUGAAGAUCUU
rnacentral:rRNA from 1 species